rnacentral:rRNA from 1 species
GGACCCGCACAAGCAGUGGAGCAUGUGGUUUAAUUCGACGCAACGCGAAGAACCUUACCAGCGUUUGACAUGGAAAGUGCCGGUUACAGAAUGGUAACCUUCAGUUCGGCUGGCUUUCGCACAGGUGCUGCAUGGCUGUCGUCAGCUCGUGUCGUGAGAUGUUGGGUUAAGUCCCGCAACGAGCGCAACCCUUAUCGUUAGUUACUAACAGUUCGGCUGAGGACUCUAGCGAAACUGCCGGUGAUAAGCCGGAGGAAGGUGGGGAUGACGUCAAGUCCUCAUGGCCCUUACACGCUGGGCUACACACGUGCUACAAUGGUAACUACAACGGGACGCAAUACCGCGAGGUGGAGCUAAUCCCCAAAAGUUAUCUCAGUUCGGAUUGCACUCUGCAACUCGAGUGCAUGAAGUUGGAAUUGCUAGUAAUCGC